rnacentral:rRNA from 1 species
GGGAGGGGCUUGCGUCUGAUUAGCUAGUUGGAGGGGUAACGGCCCACCAAGGCGACGAUCAGUAGCCGGUCUGAGAGGAUGAACGGCCACAUUGGAACUGAGACACGGUCCAGACUCCUACGGGAGGCAGCAGUGGGGAAUCUUCCGCAAUGGGCGAAAGCCUGACGGAGCAACGCCGCGUGAGCGAAGACGGCCUUCGGGUUGUAAAGCUCUGUUAUACGGGACGAACGGCUAGUGUGCCAAUACCACAUUAGAAUGACGGUACCGUAAGAGAAAGCCACGGCUAACUAC